UGGGGAAUCUUGGACAAUGGGGGCAACCCUGAUCCAGCCAUGCCGCGUGAGUGAUGAAGGCCUUAGGGUCGUAAAGCUCUUUCGCCUGUGAAGAUAAUGACGGUAGCAGGUAAAGAAACCCCGGCUAACUUCGUGCCAGCAGCCGCGGUAAUACGAAGGGGGCAAGCGUUGUUCGGAAUUACUGGGCGUAAAGGGCGUGUAGGCGGUCUAAUCAGUCAGUGGUGAAAGCCCUGGGCUCAACCCAGGAAUUGCCUUUGAUACUGUUAGACUAGAGUUCGGGAGAGGAUAGUGGAAUUCCCAGUGUAGAGGUGAAAUUCGUAGAUAUUUGGAGGAACACCAGUGGCGAAGGCGGCUCACUGGCUCGAUACUGACGCUGAGGUGCGAAAGUGUGGGGAGCAAACAGGAUUAGAUACCCUGGUAGUCCACACCGUAAACGAUGAAUGUUAGCC
rnacentral:rRNA from 1 species